AAAAGAAGAAAACUACGAGUGAAUGCUUCUGGCCCUAACCACUCUUAAGUUCAGGCAUCUUCAUCUUGCAGCCGAAGUCCACAACAGUGGAGGGAGGUGAAAGUUGAGACCAAGGCCUCUCCUGCAGCCACCGCCACCAGGGAGGCAAUCACAUUACUUUACCUGUGACAUGGAUGAAGACUGAUGAUUUUGUGGUUCGAGAAAUUGGUAAGGUCUCAUAGGUUCGCUCGUCUGGAUAAGCCAAAAAAGCACGCGCACACUUGCACAGCACACAAUCAAGUUGAGGCUGUUCUUGCACCAAUUCAGCCACGAUGACUCAUGACAGUAAUUUCACUUUUUAAUUCAAUAUAUAAUUGUGUUUUUUACAGGGAAAGUGUGCAUGAAAACAAGGUUGGUUUAUACUUAAUUAAAUACUAGUGUGAUAGAGAAAGUGAAAGCAUGUUUGAUUAAGGAAGGGAUGUGGAUGGCUUUGGCAGUGGGGAAAAUAAAAAUAAAAAUAAGAGAUGAUAGUUGGGCAAGUAGGGCUUGAUUGGUUUCCAGCAAGAAGAAGAAAAAGAAAGGUAGGGUUGAUUGGUGGUGGUCACCCACCCGCCUAUGUUUUAGCCCAUACAUGAUUGAAGGGAAGCUAAAAAUUUUGCCAAAAGCUGGUUCAUGUCUCACGAGAGCAUCUAUGUUGUCUAAGCCAAAAUCCCUCACUCCUAGGAGAGGCUUCUUCAUGACAAAAGCACUUUUCCCCACUUAUACUGAAAAGUAGUUUGAUCAUUAUACUUUCCAAUAUUGCUUCCAUGGGUUGUGUUGUUUUUAGGGCAUUAAAAUUGAAAGUCCCUAGGUUUUGUUUACGUGCUUUUUACAACUUUUUAUCCCCCUUUGUGGCAAUAGGUAGAAGAAUGAAAUCAAUAUUGUGUUUGACGAGUGCUUAGCACGUGCAUCAUGAAUUACAAUGAUGAGUUGAAGAUGAACAUGAUGAUGACUGUGUUUCGAAUGGGCAUGUGAUCAAACCUAGAUGUGCCAAUGUAUCUUUCAUCUGUCGUUUUAUUUUAUCAGUAAUAAUAGCUAGAAGAGAAUUUUAAGAUAUGUACAUGUAUUUUCGACAUGGGAAGGAAUGAAUCAAAAUAUUUCUAAUCGUUUUUGAA